UACGAAGGGGGCUAGCGUUGCUCGGAAUCACUGGGCGUAAAGCGCACGUAGGCGGAUUUUUAAGUCAGGGGUGAAAUCCUGGAGCUCAACUCCAGAACUGCCUUUGAUACUGGGAAUCUAGAGUCCGGAAGAGGUGAGUGGAACUCCGAGUGUAGAGGUGAAAUUCGUAGAUAUUCGGAAGAACACCAGUGGCGAAGGCGGCUCACUGGUCCGGUACUGACGCUGAGGUGCGAAAGCGUGGGGAGCAAACAGG
rnacentral:rRNA from 1 species